GUCGAGGGGUAACAGUCCCGCUUCGGCGGGAGCUGACGACCGGCGCACGGGUGAGUAACGCGUAUGCAACUUUCCUGUAACUGGAGGAUAGCCCCUGGAAACGGGGAUUAAUACUGCGUAAUACCUAAAUACCGCAUGGUAUUAAGGUCAAAUCUACGGAGGUUACAGAUGGGCAUGCGUGCCAUUAGCUAGAUGGUAAGGCAACGGCUUACCAUGGCAAUGAUGGCUAGGGGUUCUGCAAGGAAGGCCCCCCACACUGGUACUGAGACACGGACCAGACUCCUACGGGAGGCAGCAGUGAGGAAUAUUGGUCAAUGGAGGCAACUCUGAACCAGCCAAGCCGCGUGAAGGAAGACUGUCCUAUGGAUUGUAAACUUCUUUUGUGGCAGAAUAAACUACCGUACUUGUACGGUAUUGCAUGUAUGCCAUGAAUAAGCAUCGGCUAACUCCGUGCCAGCAGCCGCGGUAAUACGGAGGAUGCAGGCGUUAUCCGGAUUUAUUAGGUUUAAAGGGUGUUCAGGCUGCCUGGUAAGUCAGGGGUGAAAGUCGGUUGCUCAACGAUCGAAUUGCCUUUGAAACUGUCAGGCUCGAGUAUGGAUGCGGUAGGCGGAAUGUGUAGUGUAAGCGGUGAAAUGCAUAGAUAUUACACAGAACACCGAUUGCGAAGGCAGCUUACCAAACCAGCACUGACGCUGAAGCA
rnacentral:rRNA from 1 species